rnacentral:rRNA from 1 species
CAGACCUCUAAUCAGAAAAGACUACCCGCUGAGUUUAA